rnacentral:rRNA from 1 species
AUUGAACGCUGGCGGCAUGCCUUACACAUGCAAGUCGAACGGCAGCACGGGGGCAACCCUGGUGGCGAGUGGCGAACGGGUGAGUAAUGCAUCGGAACGUGCCCAGUAGUGGGGGAUAACCCGGCGAAAGCCGGGCUAAUACCGCAUACGACCCAAGGGUGAAAGCGGGGGACCGUAAGGCCUCGCGCUAUUGGAGCGGCCGAUGUCUGAUUAGCUAGUUGGCGGGGUAAGAGCCCACCAAGGCGACGAUCAGUAGCUGGUCUGAGAGGACGACCAGCCACACUGGGACUGAGACACGGCCCAGACUCCUACGGGAGGCAGCAGUGGGGAAUUUUGGACAAUGGGCGCAAGCCUGAUCCAGCCAUGCCGCGUACGGGAAGAAGGCCUUCGGGUUGUAAACCGCUUUUGGCAGGAACGAAACGGCGCAAGCCAAUACCUUGCGCUAAUGACGGUACCCGCAGAAUAAGCACCGGCUAACUCUGUGCCAGCAGCCGCAGUAAUAC